CCACUUGAAAAUGUUUAACUAAUAGUUCAUAAUAAAUCUGAAAAAGGGAAUUCUCCUCAUACCCUCCUACCUCUCCCUCUUCUUUUUCUCUUCCUCCUCCCUCUUCUCUCCCCCCUCCUUCCUCCUCCUCUCCUGCCUCCUUCCUCUCUCUUUCUCCUUGCCGUUAUCUUUUGAGCCACAAAAUGGCCAACUGGCUUACAGCAGGGCAGCAUUGACAGUUCCCCAUUCUGUGCAAACACCUUUGGAGCGAAUCCUGUGGCAGGGAAGAGAGAGCAACUAGCUUCCUGAAGUCUCAGCCGGGUCUGUUAAUGAACGCUGCUGGCACUGUAAUUUACAGAUGGGAUUAUGACAUUCCCACCUCUACUCAGGUCCUGCUUCCUCAACUCUCAGAGAUCUUGAUGCAUGAGACAAUGCUCUUGGGUGGUCAAAUACGGAAAGCCCUGCCCUAGGACGUGAGAAGCAAGUGCCUGCUUUCAUCCUUCCAUAGGACAAGAAUAUUGUAAUAAACUCCUGCCUACCAACCAACCAUGACCAAUUUGAUCCAUGUCUGAGAUGGAAAAACUUGGGGACAUCUCUCAGUUUUAUAACUUGAAAACAAAGCCAACAAACAGAAAAUCCAAGGCCGAUGAGUUGGAUUGCAUUUGUGUGAAGGUUUUUCUCACCACAACCAAAUAAGAAGAAGACAUCAAAACAGGAAGCAAGAUGAGGAUCCAGAAAGCACACGUGGAGCCUGUCAUGGCUCCAGCUCCAUUCUGUCCCCAUUGUGUGAAUCCUGCCAUGAGCAACACGCCAUCCAUCAGCCCCUCCCAACCCACCCUAAUGGAGUCUUCCUUUUCACCUCCUCCUGGAUCUCCAGGGCAGCUUUUCACUCGCCCUUCAUCAGUGAACUUCAUGGAACGGCUCUCAGAAUAUUCUACCAACCCCGUAUUUUCUGGAACAUUGUAGGAGAGACAUCAAUGCAAAUGCUUUUCCCCAACCCUAAGGUUUUCAAUAUGAAAGAUGGAACAUAGCCACCAGUGAUGACUACUUUCCUACUGCUACAUAUAAUAGUUUUGUUAUUUAUACUAAAACCACAAUGAACUUUCAGAGUGUUUUAACUAACUCAAGACUCAAGGGAAAAAGGGAAAAAAAACAAAACACUUUUCA
rnacentral:lncRNA from 1 species